AAGGCACACCGUAUGGGGUAGCUCCAGUAUAAACACCAGAGGUCAACGUCUGUUCUAUGGAGAAAUUUUGAAAUAUGUAGCUCCAGCAAUGCUUUUCUUUCUUCGAGGCGGCUUCUCCGACAGCACUAUCAACAACAAAGUUGUAAUUUUGUAAAAUUAAAUAGUUAAGUUGCAGUAACCCAGUCGCACGUCGGGAGUAAGCGCAAUCAAUCAUAUUGUCUUUGACAACCACAGUCAAAAGCGAUAAAGAACAGCAUUGAAGUUGUCUGCAAGAUCAACAUCGAUAGCCGCAUUUUCGGUGUUAAGCACCUGAUUGCUGUUGGAUGCCGCAAAGCAACUUCGACGAACUGAACGAAUCGUGUAGCCGUCAGCAAAUGCAUACAGAAACAUAUUCAAAUUCGUAUAUAACAAAGAAAAAUGACUGUACAUUUGUGAAUUUCAUCACCGUUAGAUGGCUGAACGAACGUGCGUACGCGUGUCAACUACGACCCUUGCGGAAAUCUCAAUUUCCUUGUCUGAUUCUAAAGCAGUUCGACUACAAAAAGAGCACAUCAAAGUCGAAAGGGCGCAGCUGCAAAGACAUAUAUACAAGAAGUGAUGUGAUUCAACCAUUCAACACCAACAAUCGUCACUUCCAUCGCCAUUGUGCCCACAACCAUUAUCAUUACUCCCACCAUCAAUCCACAAAAUCAUAAGCAGCAUCAUCGCAGCGAGGGACGACUUUAACCUGCUGCACUAUAGCCAACAGCACUAGCACCACGCCAUGCGGCACGUUUUUAGGAUUUUUUUUGGCCUUGGCAUCGAAAAUACUUUACGUCAGCUAUCACUUAUGAAUAUAUGUACAUUUGUAUAUUCUUACCGCCAAACGCUUGCGGAAACAUGUCGGGUGCACUAGAGCGAAGUGAUUUUAUUUUUUACUGGUUGCAAUAAAAAAGUAAAAAUUGUUUGCCGAUAUGUUGGCGUAUCGUUGUCGAUGCGGGAAUUUCUUAGCCAAAAAUUUCAAUUAUCCAACAACCAAAGCGAGAACAACAUGUCGGCAAUAGCAAAGGAAAUUAUUUUGGGUGUGACAAUAAUUUAACGCAGAAUUCGCUAGGUGUAAUAUACCAAAUUUUUUCUGCUGGAAUAUACGGAAAAUAUGCAAAUCAAAAAUCAAGAAAUUAUUACAUAAUAUAUAUACUGAAUGUAACUCAACUAAUUACUCAGACAGUUCUGAUCACUACCAUACAAACUGAGAGAUCAAAAUCAUGUCCUUGCAUUGAAUACUUUUUUAAUUCCGAGAUAUCUUCACGAAAUUUAGCGAGGAUUAUUAAGGCAACGGUACAAUUUCUGAAAUAACUGUUCAGAUUGGACUACUAUAGCAUAUAUAUAACUGUCAUAAACAACUGAUGGAUCAAAAUCAAGGCAAAGAUCUGUUUAUAUGUCUUGAUAAUAUAUGAAAUGUACCUGAGAAAUAUUUCUUGAAACUUCAAAAUUCGUUAGAGGGUGGAAAGUCCACACACCACUUGGCGGUUAGCAUUUCUCUUUUAAGUAAUAUCAAACCGGAGGAUGCAGACGUCUGCUGUACAGAAUAACAAUAAAUUAAUAAGUCGUUGGGAUCAUGUAAAAUGUGCAUUUAUCUACAAAUUCACAAAUAAAACACAGUCAAUAAGACAAGCGUAUAAUGGGCAAUAACAACUAAAUUUUAAG
rnacentral:lncRNA from 1 species